AUUGAACGCUGGCGGCAUGCCUUACACAUGCAAGUCGAACGGGAACAGGUCUUCUGAUGCUGACGAGUGGCGAACGGGUGAGUAAUACAUCGGAACGUUCCCAGACGUUGGGGGUAACGAGGCGAAAGCUUUGCUAAUACCGCCUACGAUCUAAGUAUUAGAGCAUGGGACCGCAAGGCCUUGCGCGUUUGGUUCGGCCGAUGGUAGAUUAGGUAGUUGGUGGUAUAAAAGUUUACCAAGCGGACGAUCUGUAGCUCGUAUGAGAGGACGAACAGCCACAUGGGGAGUGAGAAACGGCACAGACACCUAGGGGAGGCAGCAGUGGGGAAUUUUGGACAAGGGGCGAAAGCCGGAUCCAGCAAUGCCGCGUGAAGGAUGAAGGACUUCGGGUGGUAAACUGAUUUUGUCCGGAGCGAAGAGGAUCUGGCUAAUACCUGGGGAACAUGACGGUACCGUAAGAAUAAGCACCGGCUAACUACGUG
rnacentral:rRNA from 1 species